UCAUCAUCAUCGUCAUAAAUUAUUUAGAGAAGGGGGAGUGCCUGAAACAAACAAACAGAAUCACAGAAUGUCAAGCUAUAUAAAUAUUUAUAUACUAUGUGUGAAUGAACUGACGAUUCAAAACGUUGGAUGAAAUCUGUAAAUAUCUUUUAUUAGAGGCACAAGAAUAUCAAACUCACAGUUUUUGCCCAUCCGUAUAAAGUAAAGAGAUGAAGAGACAGAGUAAGUGUGGGACGGUGCGUGAAGGUGCGAGUGGAAAUCAUUUCUUAGUCGUAGUGUUAAGAAGCUGAAGGCUAGCAGAAGGUGGUCUUUUCGGUGGCCAAGUGCGCCAUUGCCUUUAAGAAAAACUCAGGAAAGUCUCAGACGCUUUAAUUCUUCUCAGUGUUGAUGCUGCAACCGCUUACGGAUCAUCGCUUUCUUCCCCCAGCUGUCAAUGAUUAACGUUGCUCCGCCCUAAUUGUGACAUCACACCCAUUUCAUUCUGCUCUGGUGAUCUCGCUUUUCUUUCUCAUCUCACCCACUUCGAGGUGUUUUUUUUUGCCAAUCAACUUACUAAUAUCCGGAUCCAGGGGACCUCACAAGUAGCUGCUCCUCGAGUAAUAUGUUACAUAUCCAGUGAGAUAUUAAGUUAUUGAGGAUUGAAGCUAGCUUUUGGUUUGAGCUCAUGGAGAGGGCGUGAAGCGGGGUGUACGGGCCUCUCCUGCCGGUGAGGGUUGCCAGCCGUCCAUAGCUGUCAUAGGUUGGAUGAGUAGAAAUCCUCCAUCGUUAUUAAUGUAGAUCUAGCCGGCACAACCCUUCCAUCUGGUGUGACGAUCUGUUGCAUCUGACCAGGCGUCAGGAGAGCGAGAACAUCCUCGGCUGAUCUCUCAUCCGUUCAUACGGCAGAUCUGUUCACUUGUAUUGUUUCCUGCUCAUUUCAGCCCUUGCCUUUGUCUUCAGUCAGUGGUUCAAUGAUGUUGGAAAUAUCCUAGAAAAAGCUGUGACCACAUGUAACUCAGCUUUAUACAGUCAUUUUGAGCAUAAUUCAUGUUUCAGAUGAAUAAAUAUAUAUGAUAUUUAAAUAAAAAUGAUCGUGAUGUGCCUUCCCGCUCCUUCCGAACCAAUUGGUUGGACGUUUCCGCCAAAGACAUGGAAGGACAUUUGAAUAGAGCUUUUCUUUGUACCGUGAUUCUGUUGGCACAACGAAACUAAUAAAAUGCAAUGGACGUUGUAAUGAUUUUUGAUUCUUUUGUAACUGUGACACCAUCCUGGACAGAUCCUGUGUCAUAGGAAAUCGCUUUCAGUUGAGGCAAGUCAACAGAGCAAUAUAUUAAUCUGUUUACUUGUGAUCACUUUGAGAGCUUUUAAUUCA
rnacentral:lncRNA from 1 species